GACGAACGCUGGCGGCGUGCCUAAUACAUGCAAGUCGAACGCAGUGGGGCCGGGUGAGUAACACGUGGGUAACCUCCCAUCAGAGGGGAUAACACUUGGAAACAGGUGCUAAACCGAUACUGAUGGAUGAACCCGCGGUGCCUUAGCUAGUUGGUGAGGUAACGGCUCACCAAGGCGACGAUGCAUAGCCGACCUCAGAGGGGGAUCGGCCACACUGGGACUGAGACACGGCCCAGACUCCUACGGGAGGCAGCAGUGGGGAAUAUGCGGCAAUGGGCGAAAGUCUGACCGAGCAAUGCCGCGUGAGUGAAGAAGGUUUUCGGAUCGUAAAACUCUGUUGGUAGAGAAGCGGUAUCCAACCAGAAAGCCACGGCUAACUACGUGCCAGCAGCCGCGGUAAUAC
rnacentral:rRNA from 1 species